UGUAUUUUGAAAACAGUCAAUAGGACUUCCUGGUGCCCUGGCUACGGGAGUGAGGGAAAGAGAGAAACCAAGGCCAACUCCCCGAUUUUAGCCUGGACAGCGAGAUGAAAUCUGGGGCUCUGUAGGGAAACUCUGGGACAUGGAGUUGGGCCAGUAGUCAAGAGGCCCAUCCUGGACUUACUAAAUUCAAGCUGCUUAUUUGGAAUACAAGUCAAGAUGUCAAGUGAUGGUUGCAUAUCCAUAUGCAUGAGUUACCUCUGGGGAGUUGACUGGCACCGGUGAAGUGGAACUUACACUUUUCCUUUGUAAGCCCUCCAUCUGCUAAAAAAAAAAUGUCUUUUUUGCACUAAGCUUCUAGGGUUGUUUUUCAUUUUUGUUUUUGUUUUCUGAUAAUUUUUCAAAUGCAGCAGAGAAAAUGUGUUUAAGUGCAAAACAAAUGAAUUUGUGUAAAAGAGAGAAAGGUCUGGAAAGAGAAGCACAUCAUAGUGAACAACAUUAUCAUCCGUAAGCAGCUUAACUUGUACACGUACUUGCUCUUGGAACGUAGCCAUCAUGCUGUGAUGAAGCCCAAGCAGCCAUAUGGAGAGGUCAUGAAUAUAUGUUCUGGCUGAUAGCUCCAGCUGAUGUCCCAAUCAACUGCUAACAUCAAUCAUCAGACAGUAGGAGCUCAAUGUAGAGUACUGCAGAAUUUCAUUGCUGGAAGGAGGGCUGGUGCACUUUUAGACAAAAAUAGACUUUCAGACUUUCAAAAACAUAGAGGGACCUGCUGGACCUGACUUCUCCAUGGUGGAUAGUGGGCACAGAGCCAUCACAGGGUCACAAACUCAAAUGCCCCCAAGGCCUCCAUUCCCUUAGAGGAAGCUUCUGUAGGAAGCAGAAGUUCUCAGCACUCUCAGAAGACAAUGCCUCUCUUGGAUUUUAUUUUGCCAGAGUCUGUGCUCUGGAGGAGAUCGUGCUGAGCUGCAAGAGAAGAGAAGGUGGAGGCAAAUGUUUGGUGUCCAGGAGGCUCAAGGUGUUGAGGGUGCCAUAGGAGAAGGAGGAUUUAGAGUAUUCCCUAAGAGUUGGAGGAAAGGAAAAGUUCUUGGAUUCAUCAGGUUAUGGGCACAAGUGACUGGCCCCUAAAGAUAACUGUGGGGUAGUGACAGGAUCUCAGGAAAAAAUGUCUUCUCGGGUACCCCAAGGAAGCUGGACUUGGCACCCUGUACACUCAGCCUUGACUGUGAAUCCAGAACAAAGCAGAUGCUCAUCUUUGUGGGAUUUCAUGGAUUUGGACAAUAUUGUAUUAGUGAUGGAUCAUGGAUCAGAGAGCCGUUCCUGAAUGGCACAUACUGUGCCAGGUCCCUGGGAACUUUGCCAGCCAUGAGUCAGGAAAGUACACUCCAGCUGUGACUAAAGUUAAAUGUGUUACCAACCCAUUGGAAUGGGGGAUCAGAAAAGAUUAAACUUUACUUCAAGAAAUAAAAACAUGUGAAAUUUAUUAUGUUAAAUGUUAUAGAAUAAGGUUCACAUCUGUUACAUGUGGGGACCUCAUCUAGGACUACUAGGAAUCCAGUGCAAAACAUCUGUCCACGGAUUUAUUACCAUCCUAGUGAUGGGAACAAUUGGUUUUGAGGAAAUGACUGUUUUUCUAUUGGAAAACUGGUGAGCAGAGAUGAGUCUGAACUCUCAGAAGUCACAGCUGAUUUGGGGAGCACCAUGAGCUGCUGAUGAAACUGAAUUUAAGAGAAUACUAUAGAAUGCUUUAAACUUCUGUGUUGAUACAGGUGGCUUAUGCAGUACUGGAAGGAAGAAAACACAAGUGUAGCUUUGUUAGAUUACACUGACAAUAUUAAUUUUUCUGACAUCCCCAAGGAAAGGAUAGUGACAUUUUAGACUCACAGAAGGAGAAACUUAAGGCCCUAUCUCUGAUUUUAUUUUUAAAAACAAAAUUUUACCUUUUUCCAGAAUAGAGAAACAUCAGAGACUGAUAUCACCUGCUCCCUGGUAAGAGAAUUCUCUAUUUCCCAAGGAUCAUGGUGGGUGGAGAACAGACAUCCUUAUGUGAUUCUAGCAGCAGUCUUGUACCUGGCAUGUGUGAGAAGAUCCUCAACAUCAUAUGUCGGUAGAGGAUUACAAAUCAAAACAACAAUGAGAUCUCACUAUACACCUAUUUGAAUGGCUAACAUGAAAAACUGACAACACCAAAUGCUGACGAGGAUAUGGAACAGCAGGAACUCUUGUUCAUUGCUGGUGGGAAUGCAAAAUGGCACUCACUUUGGAAGGCAGUUUGGCAGUUUCUUACAGAGCUAAACAUAGUCUUGCCAUAUGAUCCAAUAAUUAUGCUCCUAGGCAUUUACCCAAAUAUAUUGAAAUCUUAUGUCCACAAUGAAAACCUGAUACAAAUGUUUGCACCAAUUUUAUUCGUAAUUGCCCCAAACUGAAAGUGACCAAGAUGUCCUUCAGAAGGUGAAUGCAAACAGUUUGUGGUACAUCCAUAUAAUGAAAUGUUAUUUGGUGAUAAAAAUAAAUGAGCUAUCAAGCCACAAAAAAACACGAAAGAAACUUAAAUGCAUAUUGCUUAGUGAAAGAAGCCAGUCUGAAAAGGCUACAUACCGUAUGAUUCCACCUAUAUGACAUUCUGGAAAAGUAUUCUAAGGAAGUCCCAGCUACUUGGAGAUGUCAUAUGGUGACAUAUGACCAGCAAUGCCAGCUAAUGUCCUAGAUGACAGUAUCAACUGCUAGACAUAUGAGUACAUGAACCUUCAGAUAAUUCUAGCACUUAGCUGUCAAAAUGCCCUCAGCCUGUGGCCUUCCAGCUGAGGACCCAGAUAUCAUGAGCAACCAUCCCCACUGUGCUUUGCCUGAACUCUUGACUCCCAGAGUUCAUGAGCAUAAUAAAUGCUUGUU